rnacentral:rRNA from 1 species
UACGAAGGGGGGCUAGCGUUGUUCGGAAUUACUGGGCGUAAAGCGCACGUAGGCGGAUAUUUAAGUCGGGGGUGAAAUCCCGGGGCUCAACCCCGGAACUGCCUUCGAUACUGGGUAUCUUGAGUUCGGAAGAGGUGAGUGGAAUUGCGAGUGUAGAGGUGAAAUUCGUAGAUAUUCGCAGGAACACCAGUGGCGAAGGCGGCUCACUGGUCCGAUACUGACGCUGAGGUGCGAAAGCGUGGGGAGCAAACAGGG